rnacentral:rRNA from 1 species
CUGCAGUCAAGAAUAUCCCGCAAUGGCCGCAAGGCUGACGGAGCGACGCCGCGUGCAGGAAGACGCCCUUCGGGGUGUAAACUGCUUUUUUCUGGGACGAAAUUUUGACGGUACCAGAAGAAUAAGCCACUGCUAACCUCGUGCCAGCAGCAGCGGUAAUACGAGGGUGGCAAACGUUAUCCGGAUUUAUUGGGUGUAAAGCGUCUUCAGGCGGUUUGUUAAGUUUUCGGUUAAAUCUAAAGGCCUAACCUUUAGCCCGCCGAAAAAACUGGCAAACUAGAGACCGGGAGAGGUCAGUGGAAUAGCCGGUGUAGUAGUAAAAUGCGUUAAUAUCGGCUAGAACACCAAUAGCGAAGGCAACUGACUAGAACGGUUCUGACGCUCAUAAGACGAAAGCGUGGGGAGUGAAUGGGAUUAGAUACCCCAGUAAUCCACGCUGUAAACGAUGGGUACUGAGUAUUGGAAGUAUCGACCCUUCCAGUAUUGUCAAUCUAAGCUAACGCCUUAAGUACCCCACCUGGGGAGUACGGUCGCAAGACUAAAACUCAAAGGAAUUGACGGGAGUCCGCACAAGCGGGGGAGCAUGUGGUUUAAUUCGACAAUAAGCGAGGAACCUUACCAGGGCUUGACAUGUUAGGAAUUCCGGCGAAAGUUGGAAGUGCCCGGCAACGGGAGCCUAAACACAGGUGCUGCAUGGUUGUCGUCAGCUCGUGUCGUGAGAUGUUGGGUUAAGUCCUUUAACGAGCGCAACCCCUACUCUGUGUUAAAUAUUCACAGAGAACUGCCUCGGACGAUGGGGAGGAAGGCGGGGUUGACGUCAAAUCAGCAUGGCUCUUACGCCCUGGGCCACACACGUGCUACAAUGGCGAGUACAGAGGGUCGCAAAAUCGCAAGAUGAAGCUAAUCCCAUCAAAACUCGUCCUAGUUCGGAUUGAGGUCUGAAAUUCGACCUCAUGAAGCUGGAAUCGCUAGUAACCGUGGAUCAGCCACGCCACGGUGAAUACGUUCUCGGACUUUGUACACACCGCCCGUCACGUCAAGAGAGUCGGUAGUACCCGAAAGCUGGAGUUUCUCCGGAAUAAGGUAAGACUGAUGAUAGGGACGAAGUCGUAACAAGGCAUCCGUAGCGGAAGCUGUGGAUG